rnacentral:rRNA from 1 species
UACGGAGGGGGCUAGCGUUGUCCGGAAUUAUUGGGCGUAAAGAGCUCGUAGGCGGUCUGUCGCGUCUGCUGUGAAAUCCCGGGGCUCAACCCCGGGCUUGCAGUGGAUACGGGCAGACUAGAGUUCGGUAGGGGAGACUGGAAUUCCUGGUGUAGUGGUGAAAUGCGUAGAUAUCGGGAGGAACACCAGUGGCGAAGGCGGCUAUCUGGGCUGCAACUGACGCUGAGGCGCGAAGGCUAGGGGAGCAAACAGG